rnacentral:rRNA from 1 species
ACCCAACACCGGCGGCUGGGUGCUGGAAAUCCCCCUUAGAGUUUGAUCCUGGUUCACACCGCACGCUGGCGGCACGCCUAACACCUGCUACUCGAACGACGUUUCAGUACUUACUGGUCAACGGGUGAGUAACAUGUAGGGAUCUGCCCUUUGGCCUGGAAUAACAGAAGGAAACUUGUGCUAAUACCGGAUAAUUCUUUACGGAUAAAGCUUUAUGCACCAUUGGAUGAGCCUGCACUUGAUUAGUUUGUUGGUGGGGUAAUGGCCUACCAAGACUUUGAUCAAUAGCUGAUUUGAGAGGAUGAUCAGCCCCAUUGGGACUGAGACACGGCCCAAACUCCUACGGGAGGCAGCACUGGGCAAUCUUGCACAAUGUAAGAAACUCUGAUGCAGCGAUGCCCCUUGAGUGAACAAGGCCCUUGGGUUGUAAAGCUCUUUCGUCGGGGAAGAAAAUGACUGAACCCAAAUAAAAAGGCCCGGCUAACUUCCUGCCAGCACCCGCGGUAAUACCAAGGGACCUAAAGUAGUUCGGAAUUACUGGGCUUAAAGAGUUCGUAGGUGGUUGAAAAGGUUGGUGGUGAAAUCCCAGAUCUUAACUCUGGAACUGCCAUCAAAACUUUUCAGCUAGAUUAUGAUAGAGGAAAGCAUAAUUUCUAGUGUCCAGGUGAAAUUCGUAUAUAUUAUAAAGAACACACAUCGCCACGCAGCUUUCUGGAUCAUUACUGACACUGAGGAACGACGCAUGGGUACCGAAGAGGAUUACAUACCCUCGUAGUCAUGCCGUAACGAUGUGUGUUACAGAUGCAAAUUUAUUUUCUGUGUCUCACUCAAGCGAUAACACUUCGCCUGGGGAGUACGAUCUCCAUGUUUAAACUCAAGUGAAUUGACGUGGACCCGCACAAGUAGUGGAGCAUGUGGUUUAAUUAGAAGAUACGCGCAGAACCUUACCAACACUUGACAUGUUAGUCGCGAGUAUAAGAGAUUAGAGUUUUCGGUUCGGCCGGACGAAACACAGGGUCUGCAUGGCUGUCGUCAGCUCGUGUCGUGAGAUGUUGGGAUAAUUCCCGCAACGAGCGCAACCCUCACUUUUAGUUGCCAUCAUUAAGUGGGGCACUCUGAAAGAACAAUCAUUCAUAAGGUGGAGGAAGGUGGGGAUGACGUCAAGUCGUCAUGGCCCUUACGUGUUGGGCUACACACGUGCUACAAUGGGAUCUACAACAGGAAGCAACACGACGACGAUAAGCAAAUCCUUAAAAGAUACCUCAGUUCGGAUUGCUCUUUCCAACUCGAGUGCAUGAAGCUGGAAUUACUAGUAAUCGUGGAUCAGCGUGCCACGGUGAAUGCGUUCCCGGGUCUUGUACACACCUCCCGUCACACCAUGGGAUUUGAUUUUACAUUAAGGCAAGGUUUAAUACCCUCGUCCACGGUAUAGUCAGCGGGUGGGUUGUAGUCGUCACAAGGUAACCAGGGCCGCUUUCGGCGGAUAUCCUUCCCCCGGCGGCC